AGAAAAUCAUAUACAUGAUUAUAGUAAUACAAGAAAAGAUACAUGUAUGGGUUAAUUUCCUGUUCUGGUAAAAUGCAUUGUCUAUUGUAUAGGACAGAAAGCUGAGAAAGACCAUGGGAGUAUGGAACAGCCGGGAACACUAAAGGAAUGCAGACACAUAGACGCCUAGAAAUGACUGGACAUACAAAGGUCAGAGUGAUAUAUGAAGGAGGGUGUCAGCCAAAUGACCCCAGACGAAUUACAGAUAUCAGUUACAUCGUAGGGGAGACACAAGUCUGUUUAAUCUUAUACAAACAUAUGAAGAGAAGGCGACCAGAACAGCUAGUCACAGGAAAGGGGGAUGUAUAUUAUCUUUAGGUCAAAAGAAGGGUCUUGUCAUUAUUUUUAAUCUGACCGAAAGCAGAUGUGGGCGUUACUGGGCUGAACAAGCAGGAUGCACGAAGUAGGAUGGAUUCAUGGAUUGUGUGUAUAAAAAGUCAGAGCGAGUGCUCUGAAAAGGUGUGGGUCCCGCGGGGCUCUCCGGCUUAUGAUACGGGUGUAUUAAAAGUCUAUCAUUGAAUUCAAAGUUCUUGGUCGUGUCAUGUUUGAAUCGAUUUUCCACUACAGAUUUUGGCGAACGUUGCCAGGAGAAUUAGGGACUAAAAAACGUUCAUGGCUGGCAGCGGGAUCUUUGGACGAUCUGGACAAACAAGGGUGGCCACCCAGCUAAGGUAUUGAGCAUGUUGCUCUACCAAGGAGAGGAGGUAACAUGGAGAUCCUACUACAACAGAGGGAGGCCUACUGGAUUUCCCUUUUAAAACAUUGACCCCUAGUGGUCAGAAUAUUGACUUUGAUCUCUGGCCCUUUUUAUGAACAAUUAUUUUUUUGAACAAGUCUUAUAAAUGGAUCUAUUCUUUCUACAUCUUAUCAGCGUAGAACCAAUAUGUUCCCCCUGUUGAUGAUGCUUAUUAUGCAUUAUGGAUGAACCAAAAGAUUGCAUGUAGCAACAUUUUAAAUAUAUUAAAUAUAUGUGAAAUUAUAUUAAACAAUAAUGUAUGUUGAUGCUAAUCUUAUACUAAUGUUAAUGAUAACAAUAGGCUAAUAUAGUCAAUUUGAUGUAAACUACCAUUUUAACAGUUUCACUCAAUUCACUCUAAUUAACCUCAUAAUUAUGACACACCCUUCACUGUUGUUAUUGGUUGCACUAAUUGCACUGUUUGUCUACAUAACCUGGUUCAAGCAUUCAUGACUUUACCCUGAAGAAGGAACAGUGAUGCCGAAACGUUGGUGUUUUACCCAAUAAAUUACUGGGAGUUUAUAUAUAUAUAUAUAUGAGUGUGCAACUCUCUUUGUUUUUAUAGCUUACAGUGUAUUCACCAUUAGUCAGCACCUCUACACUAAGUCAUUUUCUCUGGGUGUGCUCCAGAUAAUGCUUUUUAUAUCACCUGAACAUAACAAAUAAAAUAAAUAAACAUGUGAAGAUAUUAAAGUCAGUGACAUGAAACAAUA